GGGAAAGGUUUUAAUCAGCCUCCAAAGGAAUAGAGUUAUGAAAUAUUUUUCACUAUAUAUACAUGCAAAAUUUAAGGUAUGGUUCAAUUGUUUAAGUUGUUACCGUUCUGUUCUUUUGGAAUGAUGGCUAUUACAGUCAUCAUUUAUAAGACUCCAAAACGUACACUGCAAAGGGAAAUUUACAAGUUGGUCCUGGAGUUUUGUCCCAUAUUAUACUUUAAUAUCUGAAUUUUAA
rnacentral:misc_RNA from 1 species